rnacentral:rRNA from 1 species
CUUAGGCGUGUGACUGCGUACCUUUUGUAUAAUGGGUCAGCGACUUAUAUUCUGUAGCAAGGUUAACCGAAUAGGGGAGCCGAAGGGAAACCGAGUCUUAACUGGGCGUUAAGUUGCAGGGUAUAGACCCGAAACCCGGUGAUCUAGCCAUGGGCAGGUUGAAGGUUGGGUAACACUAACUGGAGGACCGAACCGACUAAUGUUGAAAAAUUAGCGGAUGACUUGUGGCUGGGGGUGAAAGGCCAAUCAAACCGGGAGAUAGCUGGUUCUCCCCGAAAGCUAUUUAGGUAGCGCCUCGUGAAUUCAUCUCCGGGGGUAGAGCACUGUUUCGGCAAGGGGGUCAUCCCGACUUACCAACCCGAUGCAAACUGCGAAUACCGGAGAAUGUUAUCACGGG